GUUAUUUUUCUUUUUUCAUUUGUUUUUACAUUUGAAAUUUUAGAGCCUUUUAUAACUGACUUAUAUGCUGUAUGGGCUUUUCUCAUUGUUGAAGGCUGUACUGUGAUACACAGUUGAUAAUUUUGGAGUCAUUUGGUCUAUUGACAAUGAUUGAGGAGUGAACAUACAACAUCUUAUUUUGGAGUGGUGGAUCCAGAAUUUAUUGUGGAGUGCUGUCUCAUUGGCAAACAUACAACAUCUUAUUUUGCAGUAGUGGGUCCUGAAUUUUUCAUAAGUGGG
rnacentral:lncRNA from 1 species